AUUGAACGCUGGCGGAAUGCUUUACACAUACAAGUCGAACGGCAGCACGGGGGCAACCCUGGUGGCGAGUGGCGAACGGGUGAGUAAUACAUCGGAACGUGCCCAGUCGUGGGGGAUAACGUAGCGAAAGUACGCUAAUACCGCAUACGAUCUAUGGAUGAAAGCGGGGGACCUUCGGGCCUCGCGCGAUUGGAGCGGCCGAUGUCAGAUUAGGUAGUUGGUGGGGUAAAGGCUCACCAAGCCGACGAUCUGUAGCUGGUCUGAGAGGACGACCAGCCACACUGGGACUGAGACACGGCCCAGACUCCUACGGGAGGCAGCAGUGGGGAAUUUUGGACAAUGGGCGCAAGCCUGAUCCAGCCAUUCCGCGUGCAGGAUGAAGGCCUUCGGGUUGUAAACUGCUUUUGUACAGAACGAAAAGGCUCUGGUUAAUACCUGGGGCUCAUGACGGUACUGUAAGAAUAAGCACCGGCUAACUACGUGCCAGCCGCCGCCGUAAUAC
rnacentral:rRNA from 1 species